rnacentral:rRNA from 1 species
CCUACGGGAGGCAGCAGUGGGGAAUAUUGCACAAUGGGGGAAACACUGAUGCAGCGACGCCGCGUGAGUGAAGAAGGAAUUCGUUAUGUAAAGCUCUAUCAGCAGGGAAGAAAAUGACGGUACCUGAGUAAGAAGCCCCGGCUAACGACGUGCCAGCAGCCGCGGUAAUCCGUAGGGGGCAAGCGUUAUCCGGAUUUACUGGGUGUAAAGGGAGCGUAGACGGCAGUGCAAGUCUGGAGUGAAAGGUGGGGGCUCAACCCCCAGACUGCUCUGGAAACUGUAAGGCUGGAGUGCAGGAGAGGUAAGUGGAAUUCCUAGUGUAGCGGUGAAAUGCGUAGAUAUUAGGAGGAACACCAGUGGCGAAGGCGGCUUACUGGACUGUAACUGACGUUGAGGCUCGAAAGCGUGGGGAGCAAACAGGAUUAGAUACCCCUGUAGUC